CCGGGAGGGAGCCCGCGGCCAAGGCUGGACUCUCGCCCCGCCACCUCUACGACUGCCUCCUCAGCCUCUGCGCCUGGCAACCGCCGAACAGAAUUGAAUUCAGUGAUCAUGUAAGCUAGAGAAAGGAGAUGAAAAUAACCUCUGGAUAUUCUUCUCAUGUGAUAUUUAUUCUGGAUGAAGCAUUAAGGCAGCUAAUAGAUGUGCAUCACUGCAAUUUGCUGCCAGAAGUAUGUUCUCCUUUUAAAAGGCAAUAACUUCAAGCUCUUGUGGCGGAUGUAGAUUUUUGCUGCAAAGAAAUAACAGUAAGUGUUUAUAUAUAGGCAAUAAGUUGUUUUUUUUUUUUAAACUACAUCUCAAUAUUUGGAAUUCCAUUAUCACUUAAAU